UUGUAUCCCCAGCUUUGAGAACUGAAUUCCAUGGGUCGUGUCAACGUCAGACGCGUGCAGUUCAGUUCUUCAGCUGGGAUAUCUCAG
rnacentral:pre_miRNA from 1 species